AACGCGGCCGUAUAUCUAAGACGAUUGAAAGAAAAUCGAGAUGAAAAACCGGCGCGGCGCCUAGAUGUGUAUCGCGUUUAAUCUGACAGAAAAGCCGGCGAUAACGAUAAGGGGAUUCUAUAGUGUUCGAGUUAAGAUCGAUACUACGAUCGGUUUCUCUGUCCCGAGAAAAAAGGAAAAUAUUAGAAAGGAAGUGGAGUGAAGAACGAUAAGAUCGAUAUGAAGAAACGUGACUUUUUUAACCUACUACUUGUGUAGUUUCAUCAUUGAACAAUAUUUCAAUAGCGUCAAGAAAAAUAAUUGAACGAAUCGAUUUUAAUGAAUUAAUCUUGUUUGCGUCGUUUUUAAUUACUGCGGAUCCCAUUAUUCUAAUAUGAUAUAAUAUACAUACAUGCUUCGAACGAAACACCACAUAACUGUGAAAUACAAAUGCAACGAUGCAUGAACUAAUAGAAAAUUUGUGGAAAAAUUACUAAAACUUCUAGUUACCGAGCUAUCGAAAAUUAUUUUAAACAAGCGAGAUAAUUGUUAAUACUUGAUGAAAAUAAAUAUAACAUUUUAUUUGGAAUUGAAGAUAAAUUUUCUGUAAUAUAAAAAUGAUUCGUUAAAAUCAGUCGUACGACUACGUCUUUAGAAUUACAAAGUAGAAUAUUACACUCGACAAAAAUCUAAUCGUAAAAUUCUCGAUAAGUUUUAUUCUAUUAAUAAACAAUGCUUACGCAUUUCUAAAUUUCAAAAUGUGUGAUACGCUAAGCAGAAAAAUGCGGAACCAUUGAUAAAAGUUUAACGAGUUCUAUUGAUAAAGAGCUAACGAAAGUAUCGAAUAAUACAAAAACGAGAAGGGUUCAAACGUAGCAACGUGGCUGUUUAAAACGUACAGACUAGUCGAGAGAAUCACCAACGUUUCGUCCUCUUUCCCAUCGUCGUGCAACAGAUCAGCGCAAAAUUUUUCAAGUUCCAUCGGCAAGGCCGUGAAUAUUUUCUAGCCAAUCGGAAACUCUGUCGUAUUUCCAUCGCGAUGUUUCGCUUACGACACACAGACGAAGCUACUCCGGUCACAUGUUAGUCGUGCACGUGAAUCUUAUUGAACACUCAACUUGUCGGCGACGUGUAUACACGGACGUAUUAUUCACGUAACGCGAGUACCAAAGUUCUUGGUAACGUAAGGUCAAUCGUUUCUGGUAGCAAACACACAAGCCGUGUAACGCAAGCCUAUUCAAAUGCAACGAAACAGACUACCUUGGCAGUGAGAAAAUGCAUUAUGCAAGCUGGCGUAUAGCAACGAAGCGUCGUUCGAUUGGCCUAUAAUGACAUGCAAUUAAAGUACGUUGUUACCGUCGUCCACGGUUCAACUUGAAGCCUCCUUCGGAUUAGUUGAAUUCUCCACACGAUGAAAAUCGUCAAUUAAGAUGACGAAAGGAAACAGUCGACGACGAUUCACAUCUCUACGAUCAUAUAUUUUACAAGGAUCAACGGAAACAUUAAAAAUAUGAGAAACUUUUGUCUGGAAGAACUUGGUUCAAAUUUGUUGAAUUAUGCGUCUGAAAAUAAUUAAGGGAUUAUAAUAUGAAUGCUUCUUACCUAUUAGAUCAAUUGAAGAAACGAAAGUGAAGAAUGACACCAGACGGAAC